UGCAGUCGNNCGGCAGCACGGGAGCAAUCCUGGUGGCGAGUGGCGAACGGGUGAGUAAUACAUCGGAACGUGCCCUGUUGUGGGGGAUAACUAGUCGAAAGAUUAGCUAAUACCGCAUACGACCUGAGGGUGAAAGCGGGGGACCGAAAGGCCUCGCGCAAUAGGAGCGGCCGAUGUCUGAUUAGCUAGUUGGUGGGGUAAAAGCUCACCAAGGCGACGAUCAGUAGCUGGUCUGAGAGGACGAUCAGCCACACUGGGACUGAGACACGGCCCAGACUCCUACGGGAGGCAGCAGUGGGGAAUUUUGGACAAUGGGGGCAACCCUGAUCCAGCAAUGCCGCGUGUGUGAAGAAGGCCUUCGGGUUGUAAAGCACUUUUGUCCGGAAAGAAAUGGCCCUGGCUAAUACCCGGGGUCGAUGACGGUACCGGAAGAAUAAGCACCGGCUAACUACGUGCCAGCAGCCGCGGUAAUACGUAGGGUGCGAGCGUUAAUCGGAAUUACUGGGCGUAAAGCGUGCGCAGGCGGUUUUGUAAGACAGGCGUGAAAUCCCCGGGCUCAACCUGGGAAUUGCGCUUGUGACUGCAAGGCUAGAGUGCGUCAGAGGGGGGUAGAAUUCCACGUGUAGCAGUGAAAUGCGUAGAGAUGUGGAGGAAUACCGAUGGCGAANNCAGCCCCCUGGGACGUGACUGACGCUCAUGCACGAAAGCGUGGGGAGCAAACANGANUAGAUACCCUGGUAGUCCACGCCCUAAACGAUGUCAACUAGUUGUUGGGGAUUCAUUUCCUCAGUAACGUANCUANNGCGUGAAGUUGACCGNCUGGGGAGUANGGNCGCAANANUAAAACUCAANNNANUGANGGGGANCCNCANANCGGUGGNNGANGUNNAUUNNUUCGAUGCNACGCGAAA
rnacentral:rRNA from 1 species